rnacentral:misc_RNA from 1 species
GAUGAAGAACGUAGCGAAAUGCGAUAACUAAUGUGAAUUGCAGAAUUCCGUGAAUCAUCGAGUCUUUGAACGCACAUUGCGCCCCCUGGUAUUCCGGGGGGCAUGCCUGUCCGAGCGUCAUUGCUGCCCAUCAAGCACGGCUUGUGUGUUGGGCCCCGUCCCCCUCUCCCGGGGGACGGACCCGAAAGGCAGCGGCGGCACCGCGUCCGGUCCUCGAGCGUAUGGGGCUUUGUCACCCGCUCUUGUAGGCCCGGCCGGCGCUUGCCGACACCCAACCAUUUUUUUCAGGUUGACCUCGGAUCAGGUAGGGAUACCCGCUGAACUUAAGCAUAUCAAUAAGCGGAGGA